GUCCAAUGAUGAGAUCAAGGCAAGUACAAUGAUACAGUCAGCCCAAGGGAAUGUGGUUUCUUGCCUGCUGUAAUGUGGGUAAUCUUGGUAGUGUGGUGAAGUUCUACUGGAUUGCUGUAAGGGCCCACACACAGUAACCUUGCUAUCUUCUACUAUCUUUGUCCCUCCCAAGAGCAAUGGGUUUGAAUAAGAUGGAGAUGUCAUACAAUGUGUGUAUGUGUGUUUGUCUGUGUGUAAGUCGUAUGAGUGUUUACAUGUCAGCUGGCAAGAACUACAUUCUCUUUAUAAUUGGUCUGGUGGAUAUGAAUUUUGUCUUUGGUAAUCUGAGGGCC
rnacentral:snoRNA from 1 species